rnacentral:piRNA from 1 species
UCNGAGUGCUUAGGUCCAGCAUCCCUUGG